CGGCGGUGUCCGUUGCUUUUGUGUACGGAUCGAGCGGCUCGGCGGUGUCGUCUUUUACGGUUUUAACGGCAGUUCGAGAAAAAACUAAUUGGUCUCCCCCUGGACCCAGGAAGUGGAAGGGUGAUUCUGAAUUAAUGGAGCCAACAUACCUGAGCAAAAUGUUUGUUUAAAAAAAACCAGCAACUCCAGCUGCCAGAUAAAUCAGAGAAUUUGGAGUCGGAGCAGAACAGACUCCAGGACUUGUCGUUCCAGCCCAGGCUGCAGUCGUUGCUGUUUCCUUUACGGCGGAUUCCCCUGUAGGUAACGGCCACGUCUAUCUCUGUGCCCCUCCAGUCCACUUCCCAGUAACAGCGACCGGUCACACUCUCUCUGCA